rnacentral:rRNA from 1 species
AUGAACGCUGGCGGCGUGCCUAAUACAUGCAAGUCGAGCGAACAGACGAGGAGCUUGCUCCUCUGACGUUAGCGGCGGACGGGUGAGUAACACGUGGAUAACCUACCUAUAAGACUGGGAUAACUUCGGGAAACCGGAGCUAAUACCGGAUAAUAUAUUGAACCGCAUGGUUCAAUAGUGAAAGACGGUUUUGCUGUCACUUAUAGAUGGAUCCGCGCCGCAUUAGCUAGUUGGUAAGGUAACGGCUUACCAAGGCAACGAUGCGUAGCCGACCUGAGAGGGUGAUCGGCCACACUGGAACUGAGACACGGUCCAGACUCCUACGGGAGGCAGCAGUAGGGAAUCUUCCGCAAUGGGCGAAAGCCUGACGGAGCAACGCCGCGUGAGUGAUGAAGGUCUUCGGAUCGUAAAACUCUGUUAUUAGGGAAGAACAAAUGUGUAAGUAACUAUGCACGUCUUGACAGUACCUAAUCAGAAAGCCACGGCUAACUACGUA